GUGCUCCCCCGCCAAUUCCUUUAAGUUUCAACCUUGCGGUCGUACUUCCCAAGUGGCCCGCUUCACGGCUUCCCUACGGCACCACGGCAGUUCACGACUGCCGUGACACCUAGCGGGCAUCGUUUACGGCUAGGACUACCCGGGUAUCUAAUCCGGUUCGUGCCCCUAGCUUUCGUCCCUCACCGUCGGACCUGUUCUGGUAGGACGCCUUCGCCACCGGUGGUCCCCAGAGGAUUACAGGAUUUCACUCCUACCCCCUGAGUACCUCCUACCUCUCCCAGUCCCAAGCAAUGUAGUAUCCCGCAGACGCCCAACGGUUAAGCCGCUGGAUUUCCCACAAGACUUGCAAAGCCGGCUACGGACCCUUUAGACUCAAUAAUAUCGGCCACCACUCGAGCCGCCGGUAUUACCGCGGCGGCUGGCACCGGUCUUGCCCGGCCCUUGCUAACAGCCGUUUUUUAGACAGCUGGACAGACACCUAAUGUAGAUGCCACUCGAUGUUCCCCUAUCGCAGUUGCCUGCAUUGUAGAGUUUUCGCGCCUGCUGCGCCCCGUAGGGCCUGGAUUCGUGUCUCAGAAUCCAUCUCCGGGCUCUUGCUCCCACAACCCGUACUGAUAAUCGGCACGCCGGUACUUUACACCGGCGUCAACCUAAUCAGCCGCAGACCCAUCCAAAGGCGCCAGAACUUUCAAUCAAAAAACCCUUCCAGUACUCUUGACCUAUCCGGUAUUAUCCCCAGUUUCCCGGAGUUAUCCCAGACCUUUGGGUAGGUUGUCCACGUGUUACUGAGCCGU
rnacentral:rRNA from 1 species